AGAGUGCUGUAAGCAAAAGGGAGAGCAAUGUACAAAGUUUCAAAAGUUUCAAACCUUCCAAGUGCAAAGAGAUGAGGUGGAGAAUGUCAUUCCCCAAGGAAAGUAAUCGAGUAUAAAUAUUUACCGGGUGCCUAUUUUUUUUUUAACCGAAGUGAGAGCAAGACCUUAAGAGUAAGGAUAUGUGUAGUCUCCCGGUUCUGGCUGCAACUUCGCACUCCGCGCCUCUGGCAACCAGAAGAGACCCUGGCAUCUCCAAAGCGCUUUAUCUCAGUCCAUUGGAACCAGUCGUGCUGACCGAUUCACACCUCGGCUAACGCACACUCGCGGGGGUGAUGGCCUUCCCUUCCCCUCCCACCCCCGUCAGCUCCCAGUCUCCCUCCAGUGCCUCCUCUUGGCAGAACCUAACAAGAAAUCAGCUGACAAGGGAGUCUGGGAACCAGUGUCCUGUGAUCAACCUGGGGAGAACGGAAUCUUUCCUUCAGAGAACUUGGUAUAUAUCUCCAUUGUUUGAGUCUUCAUUAAAGUUUAUAAUUUUCCCUGUAAUGGUUUUAAUUCAUUCAUUAUUGUUAAGUGAUAAAUUCAUUUAAUUCAUUGUUAGAUUUAUUCCUAGGUAAUUUAUGUCCUCUAAGACUAUGGCAAAUAUUAUCUUCUUUUUAAUUAUUUUUGUUGCUGGUGUAUGAAAUUGCAAUUUAUUGUUUUAUAUUAAUCUUUUAUUGAGCUACCUUAUUAACUUAUCUUAUUAGAUUGAAGUAUUUCUAGAUUAUUUUGGGUUUUAUAUGUAAAUGAUCAUAUCACAAGCAAAUAGUGAUAAUUUUAUGUUUCCUUCCCAAUCCUUCUGCAACUGAUUUGUUUUACUUAAGUUAAUAUACUGGCAAGAACAUCUAAGGAUAGAAAGGAGUGGUGAUCAUGCACAUCCUCACCUCAUUCCAGAUUUUGAAGUGUAAGCUUCUAAUGUUUCCACAUUUGCUUAAUUUUUUAAAUGUGCUUUUUAUUUAUUUAGUUAUCAUUUUUAAAUUAUUAUUUUAUCUUAGAGACAGGGGCUUGCUAUAUUGUCCAGGCUGGUCUCGAACUCCUGGCCUCAUGUGAUCCUCCCACCUUGGCUUCUUAAAGUGCUGGUAUUAUAGGAAUGAGUUGCUGCAACUGGCCUAUAUGUGCUUUUUAUCAUUUUAAGGUUAUUCUCUUCUAUUCCUAAUUGACUAAAAGAUUUUUUUCUUUAAUAAUGAACUAAUGAUGAUUUUUUUCAAAUGCCUUAUCUAUACCUAUUAAAAUUACAUAUGGUUUUUCUCUUUUAAUAUGGUAGUAUGGUGAAUUACAUUUGUAGAUUUUCUAACAUUAAAUCAACUUUGCCUUCUUGAGUUAAACCAAACUUUGUCAGUGUAUUAUCUUUUUUAUACACUGUAGAAUUUAAUUUACUAAUACAAUCUUCUAUUUAUGAUUUUUGCUUCUAUAGUCAUAAAUGAAACAGCCCUGUAAUUUUUCCUUUUCUUCUUGUCAUAGUCUGGUUUUGGUAUUGGGGUUACAGAGUCCAUAUAAAAUGAGUUGGAGAGUAUUUCCCUUUUUUUCUAUUCUCAAGAAAAGUUUUUUAUGAGACUGGGAUGAUCACUUCCUUUUAAGAUUUGUGGGAACUUGCCUGUAAAAUCAUUUGGGCCUAGUAUUUAAUGUGGGAUUAUUUAACAAUACUGCUUGCAUUUUUGUAAUUGUUGAAUUCUCAGAUUUAAAAAAAUUUCUUCUUGAGUACAUUUUGUUAUUUUCCUAGGAAACUGAGUAUUUAUCAAACCUUUCAAAUUGUUGUUGAUAAAAUUCCUAUUUGCUUGUUAAUCUGUACUUUAUCUAGAGUGUGUUCCCUUUUUAAUUUGUGCUAUUACUUCUUUGUGAAUAAUUUGUCUUAAUUUAUUACAGAUACUUAAAUUAUAAAAGUUUUCAAAUUACUUACAUGUAUAUAUACAUAUG
rnacentral:lncRNA from 1 species